rnacentral:rRNA from 1 species
UACGAAGGGGGCUAGCGUUGCUCGGAAUCAUUGGGUUUAAAGGGUCCGUAGGCGGUUUAGUAAGUCAGUGGUGAAAGCCCAUCGCUCAACGGUGGAACGGCCAUUGAUACUGCUAAACUUGAAUUAUUGGGAAGUAACUAGAAUAUGUAGUGUAGCGGUGAAAUGCUUAGAGAUUACAUGGAAUACCAAUUGCGAAGGCAGGUUACUACCAAUAUAUUGACGCUGAUGGACGAAAGCGUGGGGAGCGAACAGG